CCACCUCCUCUUCUGUCUCUUCUGUUUUCCCUUUAUACUUUCAUUCCAUGUACCAAAAUGAAAUACUCCAAUUUUUUUUUCCUCCUUUCUUCCCUAGCUACUGGAGACACAUUCACUCUUCUGUUUGGUGAUCAAGGGAUUAUCAGUGUUUAGGGUUACAUGAGGUUCUACAUGCCCUAUUGAUGAGAACUGCAGUACCAACAUAGUAAAAUUCAUGAGAAAAAAAUCCAGUCAGUAUUAUGUGAUGCUAAACUAUGCCAGCUUCAGAACAUAUUUCCCUUUUAAAUAAAUAGUCCUCAUAUUGUGAACAUGAUUUCUACAGCUUGCUCUAAGGAGACGUUUUCUCCAGGGCAAGCUAGAAUCCAUAUGAAUAUUUUAUAUAUAACUUACAGAAUUAAGAACAUCACUCAGUAGUUCUCCAGAAUUUUAGAGUAAUUGAGGUCAACAUGGAAUCCUCUGGAUGAGGGAAUCUACCCACAAGCAGGAAAAUGCAACAGAAAAUAAAUGAAGAAACAUGGUUCAUCGGACAGUGAAAAUCAAUGAUGGGGAAAUGGACCAUUUUUGCCUCAGACAUUUUUCACUGCUCACUGAGUCCAGUUCACCUGCUUGUGGUUGUUAACUUGGCAAUUCUUCUACUUUGGUGACCAGAUCGAUAGACCAUCCAGCAGCUGAGAAAAUAUCAGAUGACUGGCAUACAGCCAGAGGCAGUUUCUGUUGUGCAGUGAGAGUCCAUUCUGAUAUCACAAAAUUGGAAAUAAAUGGAACUAUGCCAAAAUUCUCUCUUCAAAGAAGAAAAAUAAGAGGCAUAAAUAUUGGCUUGAAAUACGAUAGAAUGCAAGAACUUUUGCUUUGGCAGUAGAACAGUUUUAUAAGAAUUGAGGCUAAUUUCAUAAUCUUUAGCAAUGCAGAUAUGUAUCUUUAGUCUCAUGAAGAUUGUAAUUCCUUGCCAAGGUUCAUGGUGGAUUCUAUUAACAGACUGAAAAUAUUCAGCAUCUACACAAAGAGACAGAUCUGUUCGUAGACAACUAAAUCUUAUUAAGAGAAGAAAUUUGAACCCUUUAACCAGCAGUGGGCCUCUACCUACGGUCUAAUGCGACCUGGUGGCAUUGAACUUGGACGCAAUAACCUGAGUAAGACUUCUAAGAAAAAGUACAGUUGACACUUGAACAAUACAGAUUUGAACCGCGUGGAUCCAUUUACAGAUCGAUUUCCUCCCAAGUCAGCAACCCCUCAGAAAGCAAGACCAGCCCCUCCUUUUCCUCCUCCUCCUCAGCUUACUCAACGUGAAGACAAAGACGAUGAAGACCUUUAUGAGGAUCCACUUUCACUUAAU
rnacentral:lncRNA from 1 species